rnacentral:tRNA from 1 species
GGGCGGUUAGCUCAGUUGGUAGAGCGUCUCGUUUACACCGAGAAUGUCGGCGGUUCGAUCCCGUCACCGCCCACCA